UACGUAGGGCGCAAGCGUUAUCCGGAAUUAUUGGGCGUAAAGAGCUCGUAGGCGGUUUGUCGCGUCUGCCGUGAAAGUCCGGGGCUCAACUCCGGAUCUGCGGUGGGUACGGGCAGACUAGAGUGAUGUAGGGGAGACUGGAAUUCCUGGUGUAGCGGUGAAAUGCGCAGAUAUCAGGAGGAACACCGGUGGCGAGGGCGGAUCUCUGGGCCUUACCUGACGCUGAGGCGCGAAAGCGUGGGGAGCGAACAGG
rnacentral:rRNA from 1 species